rnacentral:rRNA from 1 species
GGGAGGUAGUGACAAUAAAUAACAAUACAGGGUUCUUUUGGAUCUUGUAAUUGGAAUGAGUACAAUUUAAAUCUCUUAACGAGGAACAAUUGGAGGGCAAGUCUGGUGCCAGCAGCCGCGGUAAUUCCAGCUCCAAUAGCGUAUAUUAAAGUUGUUGCAGUUAAAAAGCUCGUAGUUGAAUUUCGGGAUCAAUAUGUUGGUCGUGCCUUGGUACGUACUAAUUUAUUGGUUUCUUCCUUCUGACGAACCUUGAUGUCAUUAAUUUGGUGUCUUGGGGAAUCAGGACUGUUACUUUGAAAAAUUAGAGUGUUUAAAGCAAGCAUUAGCUUGAAUACAUUAGCAUGGAAUAAUGAAAUAGGACGUUUGAUCCUAUUUCGUUGGUUUCUAGGAUCGACGUAAUGAUUAAUAGGGAUAGUUGGG